CGCUGGCGGCGUGCCUAAUACAUGCAAGUCGAACGGUCUUUCUAUGGAAGCUUGCUUCCACUGAGAAGAUAGUGGCGAACGGGUGAGUAACACGUGGGUAACCUGCCCAUAAGAGGGGGAUAACAUCCGGAAACGGGUGCUAAUACCGCAUAGUUUUCUUGAUUGCAUGAUUGAGGAAGGAAAGACGGCCUUUGUGCUGUCGCUUAUGGAUGGACCCGCGGCGUAUUAGUUAGUUGGUGAGGUAACGGCUCACCAAGACGAUGAUACGUAGCCGACCUGAGAGGGUGAUCGGCCACAUUGGGACUGAGACACGGCCCAAACUCCUACGGGAGGCAGCAGUAGGGAAUCUUCCGCAAUGGACGAAAGUCUGACGGAGCAACGCCGCGUGAGUGAAAGAAGGUUUUCGGAUCGUAAAACUCUGUUGUCAGAGAAGAACAAGUUGGAGAGUAACUGCUCCAGCCUUGACGGUAUCUGACCAGAAAGCCACGGCUAACUACGUGCCAGCCGCGGC
rnacentral:rRNA from 1 species